CCAGAGGAGGCAGGCGGAGGGGGGGGCUGAGGAAGGUGGAGGUUGUAGAAGGGGGAGUUUCUCCUCUCGCCGGCAAUGUCUCCCCCUCUCGUGGGGGAGCGGAGGGCGCAGGCGGCGGCGGUGGCCCGAGGGAGCGCCGCCCGCUGGCUCUAGCCCGAGGCGGCGCUGCGGCCGCCAGCAGCGGGCCGGGCUGAGGGGCCUGGCCGCCCGCCGCGGCGGGGCUCCACGCAGGGCCGGCCGGAGCCGCGGCGACGGAGGGAAAGGGGUCGGGACUUGAGGGGGUGCCCUCUCUCGGCCCGGCUCUGCUCGCCCUCAGGCUUGAGGGCCGCCCUGGGUGGGGAAGGGCCUAUUGGCCUUCGUCCCUCGCACUGGGUGCUCAUCGAUGGUGGACCUGGAGCGCUGACAGACAGCAGGGCUCAAAUCUACUGCCUGGCUGUUGUCACCAUCCAGUGACCUCUCUACCGAUGCCGUAAAACAAGACUUGGAGGAAUGAAGUGCUCCUGAUGGUGACAGGAACAUGGCAAGGCUGGUUCGUGGCAACAUAAUUAAAAUCAAGCAUUCUUCAUAGCCCAUCUUGAGGAAAAAUGAUACAUCCAAAUGUCCUGACACAAGAACAGUAGAGAUGCGCUGCCUUGGAAAGAGGCACUGGAGUCCAGCUGUCCAUAAGCUUGCAGUGAGCAAGUAGGACAGGAAGGCAAAAGCUGUUGCAACAGUACAGAUUUUCCAGAAUGGCUUUGGAGAUACUGUUGGAAUAGCCGACAUCCUGCAGAUAAGAAACAAAUAAAUCUGGAAGCCUAAGGGAUACUGAAUUGCAUGGAAGAAAAUAAGCAAGGAUAUUACAACUGGCGCAACAGUCCUGAUGAAGCCAGACAUACGUAGUCAAACUUACACCAGCAGGUUUCUUAAAAACAGAGUUGAGAAAAACUACUGGUUGCUGCAGAUGAGAUUGAGAUAAGGAACAGGACCUUAGGCAGCAUAAAGAUAGUAACAUUUUCUGCUUCAAUGAAUAAGACAAUGCUAAAGCAUUAGUUGUUUUAAAAUAAACUGGUCUUUAUAGAAAGGGAUUCUCUUUUCUAUAAUGUGUAUGUAUUAAAUAUUCAAAGCAGAAUAUGGAAAGAGCAGAGUUAUCUACAGUGGCUUUUACUGACAAAAGACCCGAUUCAAGAAAACCUUUAAGACAUGCUUAUAAGAUCAGUCCUAUUCAUGGCAUCACUUAGUCUAAAAUAUAACUUGAAACAACUGCAAAGCUAAGCAUGUGUUUAAGUGUUGUUUGAAUAAAUAUGACUUCACAAAUCAUAAGAAAAUAGAUGAAGAUGAAUCAGUAAAAAGAAAUGUGAAAUGUUAAUGUGCAAGUAAGUGUGCGAAAAAUGUAUUUACAAUAAAGGGAAAAUUGAGGGAAAAGUAAAACCUCAUCCACCCUUUCUCAAGGCAAAUCUGAAUUUUG